rnacentral:rRNA from 1 species
CCUACGGGAGGCAGCAGUGGGGGAUAUUGGACAAUGGGGGAAACCCUGAUCCAGCGACGCCGCGUGAGUGAAGAAGUAUUUCGGUAUGUAAAGCUCUGUCAGCAGGGAAGAAAGAAAUGACGGUACCUGAGCAAGAAGCCCCGGCUAACUACGUGCCAGCAGCCGCGGGAAUACGUAGGGGGCAAGCGUUAUCCGGAAUUACGGGGUGUAAAGGGAGCGUAGACGGUGAUGCAAGGCUGGAGUGAAAGGCGGGGGCCCAAACCCCGGACUGUGCUGGAAACUGUGUAACUUGAGUGCAGGGGAGGUAAGCGGAAUUCCUAGUGUAGCGGUGAAAUGCGUAGAUAUUAGGAGGAACACCAGUGGCGAAGGCGGCUUACUGGACUGUAACUGACGUUGAGGCUCGAAAGCGUGGGGAGCAAACAGGAUUAGAUACCCCAGUAGUC